AUGUACCGCUGUCUUGGGCCUGUUGCCUGUUUCUGUUACAAGUUAUUAAAGCUGGACUUGGGCCUGUUGCUGUUACAAGUUUAAGUCAGAUAUGUUGUUACAACUGAAAUGGUUACAAGUGGAUCCGGGUAUUCGGAUAGUUCAACCGGGUCGUCCUAUAUAAAGAUACUUCUGGAUACUUGAGCCAACAACUUGUCAUUUUUUCUCUCAGUGCAUUAUUGUUCUCUCAUCUUCUUUAGGCAAUUAGGGUUUCGACUGAACUUCUUUGAUUCUCAGUUCUUGUUCCUGUUAAUUAUCUACGCAGAUUAUCUCAUUAAUAUUCACAAGCAACGUGUUUGGCUAAAUAGGCCGAAACUAAUUUGGGAUGAGUGGAUUAGGCGAGAUUUGCAAGACUUGAACCUCAAUGAGGACAUGGUCGAUGAUAGGAAUUUGUGGAGACGUAGGAUUAAGAUUACAAAAUUUUAGGAGGAUUGUCCGUUUUGGUAUUAGGGUGAGAGGGGCACUCCCCUCUUAGGGGAGUCCCCUUUCUUACGCACAUCCUAUCAGGUUAUGUCACGUUAACUCCCCUCUUAAACUCUCCUCGCACCCCAAUUUGAUGGCGGCACUCCCCUCUUAGGGGAAUUGUUUUUUUAUUCAAAAAAAAAAGUUUUCAUUGGUUGAAAAUGAGGGUGGCCCCACCUUCUCUCUCCUACCUUCUUCGGUGUCUCCCCACCGAUUUGGCCCCCCCGAUAUAGCUCACCGCCUGGAUGACGGCACCACCACCGAUCGGCAACAAUGGUCCCCGCAAGGGGUCACCGAUUGUGCCCCGCUCCCCCUUAGUUUCUUGUUUUAGGAGCUUAGUCUUUUUUUUUUGAUUUGGGGGGGUGGGUGGGUGGGUUGACUCUGUGAGUUAUCGCUUGCAUGUGUGUGUUAGAGUCUAUUUUCGGUUUGUUUAUAUUAAGGGUGGAGGGGACACAUUAUGUACUCGGAUAGAGGCGGGUAAUUGCGGGAUGGGUGAGUACUUGUGGGUGCACCGCCACAACCCAAGCGAGUAAGGGGAGACACGUGUGGGUUGAGCUAAGAGUGUCAUCUCCACCCUAAAAGGCAUGUUCUUUUUUGGCAAUAGACACGCGUUAACCUUUCCUAUUGGCUAAUAACAAAACUAAAUAAUCUAGAAAAAUUGCAAAUUUUAGAACCGAAUACCAGUCUCUUUUUUAUUUGUAUGGGUGACAAACUUUUAUGUAACUUAAAUACUAUAUAAUAAACUCUUUAGAUGGUGUUUGGGAUUGCUUACUCAAACUCUUUAAGAGUUUAGUAUGUUGUGGUACAAGAAUAAGCUGAUUUUCAGGGUUUUUGGAGUUACUUAUCAUUAAAGUAUCUUUUUUUUUGAACGACUAAUUUCUUUAAUCCCUUGUCGUCUGUGGGACUUGAACCUAAGACCUUUCCCUUUCCAACCUAGGUGUUUUAAAGGCUUGUCUUUACCAAUUAAUAGAUCACCACCCCAUUGGUUAUCUAGCAGUUUGUG
rnacentral:lncRNA from 1 species